rnacentral:rRNA from 1 species
UACGAAGGGGGCUAGCGUUGCUCGGAAUGACUGGGCGUAAAGGCGCGUAGGCGGCUUGCACAGUCAGGCGUGAAAUUCCUGGGCUCAACCUGGGGACUGCGCUUGAGACGUGUGGGCUUGAGUGGGGAAGAGGGUCGUGGAAUUCCCAGUGUAGAGGUGAAAUUCGUAGAUAUUGGGAAGAACACCGGUGGCGAAGGCGGCGACCUGGUCCGACACUGACGCUGGAGGCGCGAAAGACGUGGGGAGCAAACAGG